rnacentral:rRNA from 1 species
ACACCGGCGGCCCGAGUGGUGAUCGUGAUUAUUGGGUCUAAAGGGUCCGUAGCCGGUUUGGUCAGUCCUCCGGGAAAUCUGACAGCUCAACUGUUAGGCUUUCGGGGGAUACUGCCAGACUUGGAACCGGGAGAGGUAAGAGGUACUACAGGGGUAGGAGUGAAAUCUUGUAAUCCCUGUGGGACCACCUGUGGCGAAGGCGUCUUACCAGAACGGACCUGACGGCAAGGGACGAAAGCUAGGGGCAC